CCUACGGGAGGCAGCAGUGGGGAAUUUUGGACAAUGGGCGCAAGCCUGAUCCAGCAAUGCCGCGUGCAGGAAGAAGGCCUUCGGGUUGUAAACUGCUUUUGUACGGAACGAAACGGUCUGGGUUAAUACCCUGGGCUAAUGACGGUACCGUAAGAAUAAGCACCGGCUAACUACGUGCCAGCAGCCGCGGUAAUACGUAGGGUGCAAGCGUUAAUCGGAAUUACUGGGCGUAAAGCGUGCGCAGGCGGUGAUGUAAGACAGGCGUGAAAUCCCCGGGCUCAACCUGGGAAUUGCGCUUGUGACUGCAUCGCUGGAGUGCGGCAGAGGGGGAUGGAAUUCCGCGUGUAGCAGUGAAAUGCGUAGAUAUGCGGAGGAACACCGAUGGCGAAGGCAAUCCCCUGGGCCUGCACUGACGCUCAUGCACGAAAGCGUGGGGAGCAAACAGGAUUAGAUACCCUGGUAGUCCACGCCCUAAACGAUGUCAACUGGUUGUUGGGUAUUUACUUACUCAGUAACGAAGCUAACGCGUGAAGUUGACCGCCUGGGGAGUACGGCCGCAAGGUUUAAACUCAAAUGAAUUGACGG
rnacentral:rRNA from 1 species